AAGAUUUUAAGUUAAAUAAACUUUUAACCUUCAAAGUUAAAUAUAAAGGAUAUUCUUUAAGUCUUA
rnacentral:tRNA from 1 species